AGCAGCCGCGGUAAUUCCAGCUCCAAUAGCGUAUAUUAAAGUUGUUGCAGUUAAAAAGCUCGUAGUUGAACUUCGGGGUUCACCCAUUGGUCAGGCUUAAUUGUCUGUACUGGUGAGAUGAAUCUCUACCUUCUGAGGAACUUUCAUGUCAUUAAUUUGAUGUGAUUGGAAAUCAGGACUGUUACUUUGAAAAAUUAGAGUGUUUAAAGCAGGCUAACGUCUGAAUACAUUAGCAUGGAAUAAUGAAAUAGGACGGACUGAUUCUAUUUCGUUGGUUUCUAGGAUCACCGUAAUGAUUAAUAGGGAUAGUUGGGGGCAUUAGUAUUCAAUUGUCAGAGGUGAAAUUCUUGGAUUUAUUGAAGACUAACUACUGCGAAAGCAUUUGCCAAGGAUGUUUUCAUUAAUCAAGAACGAAAGUUAGGGGAUCGAAGACGAUCAGAUACCGUCGUAGUCUUAACCAUAAACUAUGCCGACUAGGGAUCGGACGAAGUUAAUUUAUAAUGACGCGUUCGG
rnacentral:rRNA from 1 species